ACAGAUCAUAUACACAUAUACCCUUAAUCCUGAAUAAUUCACCAAAAAUUUUACACAGAAUUUUGAAAUCCACAAAAUUCCAUCUCAAAACUUCAAACGCAUACACUAAUCUUCUGUCUAGGUCUAUUAUUUGACCUUAAAUCAAUAAUUUAAGAUUUUAGUAAAUUGUCUAAUUUUCUCGGGUUGUCACAACAUCCCCAAGAAAAUAAAGAGAACAAUGCUCCAGCUGAGGGGGAGAUCCCUGAAAUUCUCAUGAUUGAGUAUACACCGGCUGAGGGGGAGAAGUCUACAGCUCAAGAAGAGGUUCCAGCUUAGGGGGAGUUUCUGAAUCUACAAGCGGGUGACUAUGCUUUUCCUGUAUCCGAACGCAUUCGCCUUAUCUGCAAUGUUUAUCAUGAUAUAGCAAGGGUGAGCAUGAAAGUUGCCCAGCAAGUUUUAAAACAAUUUAAAGAUAUAUCACGAUUGAAAGAGUCUGAAUAAUAAGCUGGCUAUCCUUCACAAUGUAUUUGUGAAUUAGCAAUAACAAAAUUUUGACUGAACAAGUAUUGAACAAGAACAAUAAUAUAUCUAGACCAACUGGUAAUGAAGGUGAUCAGCCUUUCAUACCUGACUUAUACAUGUAAGAUGUACAGAGUACAAUUCAACAUGGCAAUCAGAGAUGAUUAACCAUAAGUAUAUCCGAAUGAACAACUCUUAGUAGAGUUAAGUAAAAGGAAACUUGCCUGAACCGUUGAUUACCGUAACACAAUAUAAUAAGCUUCGUUUGAAGACCUAAUAUUAAUAAUAUAGAUAUACAAUAUUAGAAUAAUAUAAUCACAAUAUAACAGUAACCUAAACACGUAGCGCAUAACACCAUCAGUCUAUUCAGCACAUAAAACUUAAUAUAAAGUCAAGCUAUUUCAGUCUGACUUGAAACCGACACAAUUCUAUCAUCCCGACGGUCUAGUCGGAUAAUUGACGAGUUUAAGUUCAAUUAAACUUUGCUUAAACAUUUAACCAUGCCUCAGAUAAUUUUCUUAUCAGUCAAAAUAUUUUCUAAGACUUGUAAUAAUUUUCAGAUAAUUAUUACCAUUUAUCAUGAUUUUCCAAUCAUUUAUAACGUAUUUAAAUAAAUUAAAUACCACAUAAUUUCUUUAUUAUUAAUAUUUAUUUACUAUAAAAUAUUAAUGAAAUACAUGUCAUAAUAUUAUAAUAUAUUUAUAAUAUAUCUAAGUAUUUUUAAUACCUUAAAAUCAUUUAAAUAGGAUUUUUAAACCGUUAAAUCCAUUAUCCUAUAAUCGCUUUUAAUAUUAAAAUAUUAAUAUUUUAAUGACAAAAUAUCAAAAGUUAUAUUUUAUAACUUAAAAUAUUUUCUAAUAUCACUUAAAUCAUUUUUAUAUGAUUUUUAAAUCAUUUAUUCUAUUUUUCCAUAAUUUAUUUAAUAUAUUUAUUAAAUAAACUAAUUACCAUUAAUAUUCUAAAAAUACUAAAUAUUUUCGUAAUAUACUCAAAAUAAUUAAAAACUAUUUUUCAGGCAUUAAAAUAUUUUUUCAUAAUUUAUUAUGUAUUUUUAAUAAUUAAAAACCAUUAUAAUCUAUUUAUUUAAUUAAUUAAUGUAAUUUCUGAAAAUAAGUGUCGCUAAAGGGCCCUUUAGCGACGAAACUGUCGCUAUAGGUGUUCUUGAGCUUGACAGCUUCGUUAUCAAGGCUGCUACUUUGACCACUUGUAGAUCUUAGACCAUUUGGUUUCUGGGAUUGAUCUUGGUCAGAUCGUGUAUUACUCGUACGAGACUACACAAUACAACAAUUAGUUUGAUCAAAUAGCAUAACAACAAAGAGAUCUAAGCAAGCAAAUUCACUGUCAGAACACGUUUUGGGUUUUCUGGGCCCAGACAAUUUCGAGUUAACACAUUCAAGCUCACUUUAAUCUAUGUUCUGAUCUUUGUUCAGGUGGUCUAAAGGUUCAAACUAGUAGUAGACAUGACAACGAACAUUUAUAUACUAACAUCAUAGUUUAAAAACACUUCAAUCGCCUGGAUCCGUCCAGUCAAAGUGUGUCAGAAACAUUGCUCUUAAGUUUUCUGGAAAUUCCAGAAAACCAAAUCCGUGAUCAUCUUUGCAGGUUUGACCAUCCAUAGAGUUCAAUAUGUUGAUUAUUUCAAGGAUAUAAAAGCAUGAACAUAGAGUUAACAUAACAUACUACAACUUAGACAUAAUAUCCUUACCAAAUAAUCAACACACUGACAGAUCUAGACGCUGGAAUAUACUGUCAGACGCCUGUUUAUGCAUUCUAGGUUGCCCAGAAAAAGGGAAAAGUCAUGGUCGGGCAAGAAUAUAUUCUGAUUUGCUGGGAUUUUCAGACCACAAAAUCAAUAAUGGUUGGCUUUGAAAGAUAUGGUAGGAUUUUUCUACCAAUAAUUCACCAAAUGGGACAAAAAAGGUAAAUUAAACUUUUCACUUCUAUCCAAUAAUGCACAAAAGGGUAAAUUGGACAUUUGACUUUUAAAAUCAAUAGCAUACUUGUCAUUUAACCCAACCCUUAGGGUUUGACCAUUAGGGUUAGACCAUUAGGGUUAAAAGCUAAGGUUCUAAAAAAAUUAAUUUUCAAAUAUUUUCAAAUUUAGAUUUUCUAAAUAGAAAAUUAAUAUCUCUAAAUUAUAAUUAGGAUUUUCUAAUUAUAUUCUAAUUUCCCAAUUUAUAAAUCAUUAUUGACAAUUAGGAUUAAUAAUUCCUAAUUAAAAUUACUAAUUGAGCAAUUAAUUCCAUAACUGUACAUUAGGGUUCCUGACAGAAUAAUUAGGGUUUUAAACCGUAAAAUUAGGGUUUUCUAAAUUAUUAGAAAAUCUAAUUAAUCAUUAGGGUUUUCCCUGAUUAGGUUGCAAUUAAAAUAUAUAAACUUUAUAUAUUGCAAUUAAAUUCCCAAAUUAGGAUUUUAAUAUCCGAAUUAGGGUUUUAAAUUCCCGAAACAGAAAUUAGGGUUUCCAGAAUCGGUUUCUAGGGGUUCUUAUCAAACGUUAGGGUUUUCUAACUGAACGUUGACGUUCUAAUAAUAUUAGGGUUUGACUUUGAUAAAAUAUAUCUGGUCAACCCUUGACCCUUAACCACAUUCUGUACACAUAAUACCAUAAUCACAGAUCAUAUACACAUAUACCCUUAAUCCUGAAUAAUUUACCAAAAAUUUUACACAGAAUUUUGAAAUCCACAAAAUUCCAUCUCAAAACUUCAAAUGCAAACACUAAUUUUCUGUCUAGGUCUAUUAUUUGACCUUAAAUCAAUCAUUUAAGAUUUUAAUAAAUUGUCUAAUUUUCUCGGGUUGUCACAACAUCCCCAAGAAAAUAAAGAGAACAAUGCUCCAGCUGAGGGGGAGAUCCUUGAAAUUCUCAUGAUUGAG
rnacentral:lncRNA from 1 species